UACGUAGGGAGCAAGCGUUGUCCGGAAUCAUUGGGCGUAAAGCGCGCGUAGGUGGCUUCGUAAGUCCGUUGUGAAAGUCAAAGGCUCAACCUUUGAACGCCGAUGGAUACUGCGGAGCUAGAGUACGGAAGAGGCGAGUGGAAUUCCUGGUGUAGCGGUGGAAUGCGCAGAUAUCAGGAGGAACACCAAUAGCGAAGGCAGCUCGCUGGGACGUUACUGACACUGAGGCGCGAAAGCGUGGGGAGCGAACAGG
rnacentral:rRNA from 1 species